CGUAGGGGGCGAGCGUUGUCCGGAUUUACUGGGCGUAAAGAGCGCGUAGGCGGAGAUCUAAGCGUGGCCUGAAAGCCCCCGGCUCAACCGGGGAGGGUGGCUGCGAACUGGAUUUCUUGAGGACGAUAGAGGAGAGUGGAAUUCCUGGUGUAGCGGUGAAAUGCGUAGAUAUCAGGAGGAACACCCGAGGCGAAGGCGGCUCUCUGGGUCGUACCUGACGCUGAGGCGCGAAAGCGUGGGGAGCGAACGGGAUUAGAUACCCCGGUAGUCCACGCCGUAAACGAUGGUCACUAGGUGUGUGUGGUAUCGACCCCGCACGUGCCGCAGCUAACGCAAUAAGUGACCCGCCUGGGGAGUACGGCCGCAAGGUUG
rnacentral:rRNA from 1 species